rnacentral:tRNA from 1 species
GCCUGGGUGGCACAGUGGUUGAGCGUCUGCCUUCGGCUCAGGGCGCGAUCCCGGCCUUGUGGGAUCGAGCCCCACAUCAGGCU